rnacentral:lncRNA from 1 species
CCUAUCUCCAAAUCAGGUAUUUUAUGAAUAUAACGUGCCUGACUCUCCAAAUGUGUGCUUUGUGUUUAGCUCAUUUAUUAUUAAGCAAUUAAAAAGACCACUGAAUUUGAAAACAGGUAGGUAAAAAUACAGGACCACCAGCUGCAAGUUUCAGGACUGAUUGAUAACAGCAAAGUUCUCUGUUUGUGUGAAAGGAAAGCCACUGAACCUGCAUACAGGAGUCUGCAAGCUGAGCCUCAAAACUCUCAUCACAGGACCGUGUGCUCAGACUGGAAGAAGAUGCUUGCGGAACAAAAUAAGAAGAGGAUUUAUUUUAAACAACUGAACCAAAAAUCAAGAACUCAAAGUACAAGCAAGGGUUUCUUAACAAAGAACAACCCAUCUUUCUCCUUCCGCUGGUGGAUCCUCCCACUCCGAGUCCUGCGGACACUUUUUUAGAGACAUCAGGAUUUACAUGGGCUUGUGAUCAGACAUUCCUCACCGAGCCUGCAGUCUGUGCUGCCACUACUAAAGCCCAGCCUUCAGAUGCUGGAUGUUCACAGCAGUGAUUUUGACUGACGGGCCUACAGCAGUGUCUCUGCUUCAGCGUCUGCUGAGCGAGAAAGCACAGAUGGUUUUCCUGCGCUGUGUGUGAGCGAGUUACAGUUUGAUGUUUUUCUGUGUAUGUGAGGAUGUUCUGACACCCUUUUACCCCACUGAGCUCAGCUAAGUGACAACCAGCCCUGAUCAGAGGAAAAGGAGCAAACGACGGAGAGAAUUUAUCGUUUCUGAAUAGGGGAGUCCACUGCUGCAGAGCAACGCACAUGUACAUUGU